GGAAAUUCAGUAAUGUGUCAUUCUCAGCACUAAUUUGGUCUUUCUUGAAGUGACAUUAAAAGGCCAUUUACGCAGGCCAUUUCUGCUUGUGCAGUUUUUGUCGCGAUUUCUACAGAAACUUUUGUUGCGCCUGAGUUUACAAUUCCAAAUUGCUCGUGUAAAUCAGCUAUGAUUUUAAUGCAAUUUCAGCGUGAUAUCGCCGGAGAUUUCGAAGUUACGACGAAAACAACACAAUCUCUGUUUAUAAGAUAUGCGUAAAUCCUCCGAUUCAAAACCUCCACUCAUUUCAUCACACUUCAUGGCAAUUGUUGCAGAUCGUACUAAAAUUGCACUGAAAUUGGGCGAACGCAACAAAACUUUAAACAUCUCUCGCGUAAAUGGUUUUAACGCUGACACAGUUCAGGAACAAAUCAAUGACGCAUUAUGCAUGCGAUAGUCUGGCAAUGAAGUCUCUUGAAGGCGGACAGUCUAUCUUAAUAGCUAACAUUUUGUCGGCCACGCCGGUUCUUUACAAAUAAGAUGGAUUAUCCAUGAAAAUUCGUCUCAGAAUUAAUCUCUGGAUAGAUAUGUAGCUGAAAACACACGCGCUCUUCACGCGCGCACACACGCAAGCGCCUCACACGCACACGCACGUGCACAUUUGGUCAGUCAUUAUCGCCCUAUGUUGUUUUGUAGGAGCAGCCCUCAAACUUAAAGAAAGCUGCAAAGCCUGAAAUUGACAGAACCUGCUUACACAAAGAACCAACGAGUAGAAGGGUAGCUGUAGCUGAUCAUGAUUGCUGCGAAGGCAAUCAAAGGUCCGUUGAGCUAACUCGUAUAACAGUUUUUCCGUUUUGCUAAAAAUAGGCACCUUAAGAUACCAGGACGGGACGAGCUAGGACGGCUGCCGGAAGUGAAGUGACUCAACCGGGCAUGCGCACGAGAACUCUCGACUCAUCUCUCUGCCGUCCUCAUCUCGUCGAGGACGCCAUUUCGCCCGACUAGCCGUCGUAUCGAAGACCCACUGUGCAGACGCUAUCACGAUUGCGCAAGCUCAAUACAAACUGUAUGCAUUGAGAAUACAUCAGUGUAAGUACAGUCGAUAAGUAAUUGUAAGAAUGAAUGCCAUGGAGUAUCUAUCGAGCAAAUAAAAUACACAUUUUCAAACUGA